AGGGGGCCAGAUGCAGUGGGCUUGACCCGCUCGUUGUUGGGGGGAUUUCAAACCGCUGAUACACACAGGGAUUAGCCUAGCCUACACUGACUUCAUUUAAUUUAAUUUGUAUUAGGCCUUGUCUUUGAGGGCAAACAGGUUUUUACAGAGAGAAAGAGGAAAGCCAGGGUCACUGAAAACAACAACAACAGAAGGCCCGUCUCUCCGAAGCUCCCAGACCCCUUGUCUCCAUACUGCAGUCCUGGAGCCGCAUGAAUCUGCUCCAUACUGCAGUCCUGGAGCCGCGUGGAUCUGCUCCAUACUGCAGUCCUGGAGCCGCGUGGAUCUGCUCCAUACUGCAGGGAGGCAGGAGUCACCAGGACACGAAGACGACUUACAAUGUUAAGCAGAAGAGAGAGAAAAAAGGAAACUGCGGAGCUGAACUGCUGGCCUAGGAAAAUGAAAAAUGAAAACCGAGCAGCCGGAGACUAACAACAGUGACAGGCUCCAUGAGAGCGAGCUAAUGUACCGUGCACUGGGGAAAGUUGUUUUAUUACAAGGCAGAUCUAAACAACAUUAAAAAGGAAAGAGAGAAAAA